rnacentral:rRNA from 1 species
CUUUCAACAACGGAUCUCUUGGUUCUGGCAUCGAUGAAGAACGCAGCGAAAUGCGAUAAGUAGUGUGAAUUGCAGAAUUCAGUGAAUCAUCGAAUCUUUGAACGCACAUUGCGCCCUUUGGUAUUCCAAAGGGCAUGCCUGUUCGAGCGUCAUU